rnacentral:rRNA from 1 species
CUACGGGGGGCAGCAGUGAGGAAUAUUGCGCAAUGGAGGCAACUCUGACGCAGCCAUGCCGCGUGCAGGAAGAAGGUCUUAUGGGUCGUAAACUGCUUUUAUUUAGGAAUAAACCCCCGAACGUGUUCGGGGCUGAAGGUACUAAACGAAUAAGCACCGGCUAACUCCGUGCCAGCAGCCGCGGUAAUACGGAGGGUGCGAGCGUUAUCCGGAUUUAUUGGGUUUAAAGGGUGCGCAGGCGGGCUAUUAAGUCAGUGGUGAAAUCCCGGGGCUCAACUCCGGAACUGCCAUUGAUACUGAUAGUCUUGAGUUUGGUUGAAGUGGGCGGAAUGUAGCAUGUAGCGGUGAAAUGCAUAGAUAUGCUACAGAACACCAAUCGCGAAGGCAGCUCACUAAGCCAAAACUGACGCUCAUGCACGAAAGCGUGGGGAUCAAACAGGAUUAGAUACCCGCGUAGUC